GGAGAGUUGGCCGAGUAGGUUGAAGGCGCUCGCCUGCUAAGCGAGUAUACGGGCAUAACCUGUAUCGAGGGUUCGAAUCCCUCACUCUCCGCCA
rnacentral:tRNA from 2 species